rnacentral:rRNA from 1 species
ACCAGACUCCUACGGGAGGCAGCAGUGGGGAAUAUUGCACAAUGGGGGAAACCCUGAUGCAGCGACGCCGCGUGAAGGAAGAAGUAUUUCGGUAUGUAAACUUCUAUCAGCAGGGAAGAAAGUGACGGUACCUGACUAAGAAGCCCCGGCUAACUACGUGCCAGCAGCCGCGGUAAUACGUAGGGGGCAAGCGUUAUCCGGAUUUACUGGGUGUAAAGGGAGCGUAGGCGGCGAUGCAAGUCAGAAGUGAAAGCCCGGGGCUCAACUCCGGGACUGCUUUUGAAACUGUAUGGCUAGAUUGUAGGGGAGGCAAGUGGAAUUCCUAGUGUAGCGGUGAAAUGCGUAGAUAUUAGGAGGAACACCAGUGGCGAAGGCGGCUUGCUGGACUGUAAAUGACGCUGAGGCUCGAAAGCGUGGGGAGCAAACAGGAUUAGAUACCCGAGUAC